rnacentral:rRNA from 1 species
CCAGACUCCUACGGGAGGCAGCAGUGAGGAAUAUUGGUCAAUGGGCGAGAGCCUGAACCAGCCAAGUCGCGUGAGGGAAGGCGGUCCUAUGGAUUGUAAACCUCUUUUGUCGGGGAGCAAAAAGGCCUCGUGAGGCCACAAGUGAGAGUACCCGAAGAAAAAGCAUCGGCUAACUCCGUGCCAGCAGCCGCGGUAAUACGGAGGAUGCGAGCGUUAUCCGGAUUUAUUGGGUUUAAAGGGUGCGCAGGCGGCGUUGUAAGCCAGGGGAAAAAGCCGGGGGCCCAACCCCGGCGAGCCGUUGAAACUGGCGGGCUGGAGUUGGAGAGAAGUACGCGGAAUGCGCGGUGUAGCGGUGAAAUGCUUAGAUAUCGCGCAGAACCCCGAUUGCGAAGGCAGCGUACCGGCUCCACACUGACGCUGAGGCACGAAAGCGUGGGUAUCGAACAGGAUUAGAUACCCGUGUA